AUUGAACGCUGGCGGCAGGCCUAACACAUGCAAGUCGAGCGGAUGAAGGGAGCUUGCUCCUGGAUUCAGCGGCGGACGGGUGAGUAAUGCCUAGGAAUCUGCCUGGUAGUGGGGAUAACGUCCGGAAACGGGCGCUAAUACCGCAUACGUCCUGAGGGAGAAAGUGGGGGAUCUUCGGACCUCACGCUAUCAGAUGAGCCUAGGUCGGAUUAGCUAGUUGGUGGGGUAAAGGCCUACCAAGGCGACGAUCCGUAACUGGUCUGAGAGGAUGAUCAGUCACACUGGAACUGAGACACGGUCCAGACUCCUACGGGAGGCAGCAGUGGGGAAUAUUGGACAAUGGGCGAAAGCCUGAUCCAGCCAUGCCGCGUGUGUGAAGAAGGUCUUCGGAUUGUAAAGCACUUUAAGUUGGGAGGAAGGGCAGUAAGUUAAUACCUUGCUGUUUUGACGUUACCAACAGAAUAAGCACCGGCUAACUUCGU
rnacentral:rRNA from 1 species